AGGCUGGCUGUGGGUGUGAGGCAGCAGAGGCUUGUGUGUGUCCACCAUGGCCUGGACCGUGCUCCUCCUCGCCCUUCUUGCUCACUGCGCAGGUUCCUGGGCCCAGUUUGUGCUUUCUCAGCCUCAGUCUAAGUCAGGGUCACUGGGGGAGACGGUCUCCAUUUCCUGCAGCCGCAAUGGUGGUGGCAUUGGGAGUUAUUUUGUAUCCUGGUACCAGCAGCUCCCAGGCAAAGCACCCACCACAGUGAUCUAUAAGAAUGAUCAGAGGCCCUUGGGGGUUCCUGAGCGGUUCUCUGGCUCCAUCGACAAGUCGUCCAACUCUGCCUCCCUGACCAUCUCUGGGCUGCAGGCUGAGGACGAGGCUGACUACUACUGUCAGUCGUAUGAUGACAGUGUUCAUCCCACAGUGCUCCAGCCCCACGGGGAAGUUAGCACGAUUCCAGCUUUCCUGUUGUUCUCUGAUAUUCAGUGUGUCUGCUGGCUUUGGGUAAUGCCUUUGCUCAGCAAUCUACUCUACAUGACUAAAGGCACCAAGCAGCAGCCUGAAUGUGACACCUCAGUUGAUUUCCUCUUUGAACGUGCCCACUUGAAAUGCAGAGUGAAAGAGUGA